CUUCAUUUUAUUAUUAUUCUAACUCUUUUAUUUUUGUUCAUUUUCAUUUUUGGAUGAUUUUUUGGGUGUCCUCGUAUGAGGAAUUUUAUCCAACCCGAGAAUCAUUCUGAGUCGAUUUCUGAUAAGCGAAAUUUUUAAAAAAGCGAAACACAAGUGUUAAAAUUUCAUGACUUUUCAAUUUCUAGGUACUUCUAAAUAAAGUUGGAAUCUUGAACUUUUGGAUAGUUUUGGGUUGUAUUUCACAUGCAUCUAGAUAAUUUCGUGUUUUCUCUCAAAAUUAAUCGAUUUUAUUUGCAUCCUCAAAUUAUUUUUGAACUGGGUUUCUCUUAUUUUUCUUCUUUUUGUUAUUUUGUUGACUUUUUGAUUUCUUGAUGCUUCUGAAUAAAGUUGGAAUCUUGAACUUUUGAAUAGUUGUGGGAUGAAUUUCACAUGCAUCUAGAUAGUAAUUUAGGUGUCUUGCUAUAGCCAUCUUUUCAGCAACAUUUUUUAGGUAACAAGUAUUUCAUGGCUUAGCACUUAUAAAAGUGUUAAAAUUGUGAAUACUUUGAGAGAGUGUAUUGGGCAUGUAUUUUUCUCAUGUUUUGUUAUUCAAUAUAUUUUGAAAAAUUUUCUCUAACAAAAUAGUUACAAGGAAAAUAAGAUUAUAACUUAAUUCCAAAGUUGUAGAAGUGACAUUUCAUGUUGGCUGUCCUCCCCCACCCCCCCCCAACCCCCCCAACCCCAUAGUGUUUGCGUAAGAUUAUAUAUAAAUGUUCUUAGAACGAUAUUUUUCUUAUUCACCAAACACUAUUAAGUAAGAAAAUUAUUAGUUUCGAAAGAAAAUAUUUUUCAUGAAAAAUAUUUUCUUCGAACCAAACAUUCCUGAUAAUAAGUGCUUUUCAAGAACCUGAGACUAUCCGAGUUUAUAUGCUUUUCUUUAGUGGGAUAGCAUUGCUUGAUGCUGAAUUUCCCCCUCGAAGCACUGGGAAACCUAGCAUUGACUAUGAUCCCCUAUAAAGUAAAGUAACUGAUGCCCGAUAAUGCACUUAGUGUUUGUAAGAAGAUAAAACUUGUGAACAAAAAUAUAUUUCUGGAUCUUGAAGUGCUGUGUGGAAUGAUGCAUCAUUAACGGGCUAUUUUCGUUCCAUGAGAUCUAGACGUCCACCUAGUUUUGAGAACCAUGACAUACUAGCUUUUGAGACUUCUUGUGAGUUAAAGAAUGCCACUUUUUCCCUAAAUAUCUAAAAUUGUGAAAUGUUAAGUAAAAGGGAUUUGAGGCUCUUAUUUGAUUUUUCUUUUCCUUCUUUUGCUUGUAAUAUUUGAUAAUUGUAAUUAGUACUAUUCUUUAAAAUGUUUGACCAGUAGUGUUUGUUGAACAUUCAGUCACAAGAAGUUUGUAAUCACUGUUCUAGCAAUCCAAUGAUUUAGAAUUCAUAGAUAUAUACUGAUCACAGUGUUCCAUCCGGCAAGUGAGACUAUCCUUUGAGUUCAGUUGCUAUUCAUUAUUUUUGUACUUCGAUUAUCGCAUUAUUUUAUUGAAGUUACUGUUCGGAUUGAUUUGUCUUGUUUUCCAUAGUAUUUAUGACAUGGCUUUUUCCACUUCCAUUAUUUCCUUUUCCCCUACUGCUUUAGACUGUUCUUUCCUUGAGCUGAAGGUAUUCGGAAACUACCUCUCUACCUCCAAAUUAGAGGUAAGGUCUAUGAAUGCUCCACCCUCCCUGGACCCGACUUUGUAGGAUUAAACUGCGUAUGUUGUUGUUGCCUUCAGCAAAUUGAAAUCUUUCCUCUAAAUAAUUGGUAAUAUAUAUUUCCUGGACACUGAAGUUUGAAGUUAUUGAUGUCUACUUGGUUAUCUUCCAGCAGAGUAGGUGUGUCCAACAAAAAACUGUUAGUAUGAUAUAAAGUAUCUAUUCCAUGACCAUUUUUUUUGUUAAGCUAUCAUCUUAGAGUACUCUAGUUAUCUAUUGCAGUUUUUGUUAAUGAAGUGGAUGUAUUGCAUGUUCUAUACGAAAAACUAAGCUGCUCCAUAAUUGAUGAUGGACCUCCAUUUCAGAUUCUAUUUCAGUUAUGGAAACAAGCCCCUGUUCCUAUCUGUUGAGUAGUCGAUGGGCCAUUAUGUUCCCUUGUCUUUCUCCGCUCCUUCUUUUUUGACAUAUGCGGCAGCUGGUAGUAGAUGGCCCUUUACUUUCGUCUGUCUUUAUCGUAUUAAGCCCUCUAAUCUAGCAUUCCUAUAAUUAAGCUGAGCAUCAUAUCACUUAUUCAUACAUAGACUUUAGACUUUUGGACUUACAAGAGAUAAAAGUAUAGUUUUUUGGGUUUCUUCUUCUGAUUCUUUUCUUUUCCCCAUAAUCUGAUAUCCUGAAGAUGCAUGAUGAUGAUAAUAUAUAUAGAGACAUUUGAUGAUUCAAAUUUUGAAAGCUAAUUAAUUUCGCGUGACAAUUUUUAGCUUUGAAUGUUCAUUCUUAUUUUUUCAGAGGCCCCAUCUUGGUUGUAUUCAGUCUAAUCGGCCAUCUGAGGAACGGAGAAAUGUUGUUGCUGAUUAUGUUCAAGGGCUCAUCAUGAAGUGCUUUCCUUGUCAGCCUCCUCACCUUUAUAUCUGGUAAAUAUGGGCACCAUUAGACAAUAGGAAUCAAUGCAAAAACACAUCAAAUAAGCCUUGAGGCAUCAACGCUGCCUCAACAAUUCAGAUUUCUCUGUAUCACUGCAUCAACAAUUGUUUCAAUCUGUUGAUUUCGUGGUCUAAUAAGACUCAUGACGAUCAAAGAUUACGUCAACUUUUACGCUAGAUGAUGCCAGAUUCUUCAGCAGGUCAGUAGAGGUUGGUUAGAAUUUUCAUUAGCAUCGAAGAUUUUGGCUAAGAUAAACUUUAUAUGCUUCAACUCAGGCUCUUAGACUACAAAACCUUCCGAGUUAACUUCUUUGAGGUGAUUAAAUGUCACAUUUGUGAAACGUUCCACUUGAAGUGAUUCUGGGAUAGGAACAUCAUCGUAAAAGGUUGCCACCUAAAACAUUAACAAAGCACAACGUUUCGACUUUAUUAAAUAUAAAAAUGAGUAAGACAUACAAAGUCCACUAAUAAACUUCACAAAAUGUUUUGUCUAACAAGAAAACGGUGAUGAUCUCCUAUGCCUAAACAAUAAACAUUAUACUAACAGAAAGUUGCAAUUUAGUUUGAGCAUUUUCUUGUCUCCGCUAAGAAAACCACAAAUAACUUUAACAAUAGAGAAAGAAAAGAGUCAAAUCACUAAGAACUUGAAUAUCCAUAUACAACAAAUUUAGGGAGCUUCUUAUCAAGCAAAGAGCAGAUGGAAUCAACUCGAAUGGAUCAAAAUACAUACCAGAUAUGCAAAGACGUUUGACAGAAUGAAAAGCAAUAGAACUCGUUUCUAAAGAUGAGGACGUUUGACAGAAUUAAGAGUAAAAGGACUAGGAAUAGAGAAUAACAGAAGUCAGGACUUGUAUAAAUCAAAAGAUAUUGAGCACAGGUUGGUGGGAAGGUCGCACACCAAUAAAUCCAGUUGUUGUUGUUGCGAUUUGAGUUUUAUGUUAUUGCUUGAUAGAUGACUUUAUUUACAUUAACAGGUGUUUACUGAUAGAUUAGUCAAUGAUAUUUCACUUUUGUUUCAGUUGCUUGCUCUAUCGUUAACGUGUUAUUUUUGAGUCGCAACUAUCUUGUAGAGUGAAGCCGCUGAAACUGCUCAAGUUACGAGUUAUCAACUCUGUCAAGCUGAUGUUGGUAAUUGCUUCCUUAUAUUGCUUAUGGUGUACAACCCAAAUAUACUUGGUUCAUCCUCGUCGGCCAGCUGUUGGUGAAGAGGUGAAGAGGCUGAGCUCGGAGUUCUUGUGUUUAUUGGAAUACAUUUUUUCCUCCCUCAUUGGCUGUGCAUUCAGUCCAUGAACACAAGAGAUCCCCAAGAACUUAUGUCCUUAUGACUAAAUGAAAAUCAUAGUGAUUAGCGACAGAAAAUCUCAAGGCUCAAAUUGAUUCAAGCCCUUGUCAGCAACAUUUUGCAGGAAUUAAGGAAGUGGAAUAGAUAUAAGAACAACAACUUGUUGAUGAAGCUCAAUGAAUUUUGAAGUGGGAAAAUGAAAAUGUAUGUACUAUGUAGUGGAGGUGCUUGAAAAGAAGUGUUAAGUGGACUGCUGGUUUGGAGUGGUUAAAAAUGUAGCAAUGCAAUCAAUAAAAACAUGGAGUCAUCAUGAAUGAUUGACACAGUAUGGCAUGAGACGUCGUUCCAUGGUGUCCUCCCUCAGUUUCUUGAAUUGCCAAAGAUGGAUGGCAGCAACAAUCAUCUAGGUAGCACACAGAUUUCAGCUCUGGAGCUGCUUAGGACUGGAAUUGCUUCAAGAGGAUUAACUUCAUUCAUCUCCUCGCCGUCAACACCAGAUUUGAAUGCUUUAUACACUACAUCAGGGUUUCAUUUCAAGAAUUCAAGUUUAGUGGUGGUAGUACUCAUGAUCAUGCUUCUUUGUAUUUUAUAUUCUAUUGAUGUCUAAACCUCCCAUAUUUUUCAUUUUUUGUCCUUCAA